GACGAACGCUGGCGGCGUGCUUAACACAUGCAAGUCGAACGGAAAGGCCCUGCUUGCAGGGUACUCGAGUGGCGAACGGGUGAGUAACACGUGGGUGAUCUGCCCUGCACUUCGGGAUAAGCCUGGGAAACUGGGUCUAAUACCGGAUAGGAGCCAUUUUUAGUGUGAUGGUUGGAAAGUUUUUUCGGUGUAGGAUGAGCUCGCGGCCUAUCAGCUUGUUGGUGGGGUAAUGGCCUACCAAGGCGGCGACGGGUAGCCGGCCUGAGAGGGUGGACGGCCACAUUGGGACUUAGAGACGGCCCAGACUCCGACGGGAGGCAGCAGUGGGGAAGAUUGCACAAUGGGCGCAAGCCGGAUGCAGCGACGCCGCGUGGGGGAUGACGGCCUUCGGGUUGUAAACUCCUUUCGCUAGGGACGAAGCUUUUUGUGACGGUACCUAGAUAAGAAGCACCGGCUAACUACGUG
rnacentral:rRNA from 1 species